UACGGAGGGUGCGAGCGUUGUCCGGAAUCAUUGGGCGUAAAGGGCGCGUAGGUGGCCUGCUAAGCGUGCGGUGAAAGUCGGGGGCUCAACCCCCGAUCGGCCGUGCGAACUGGGAGGCUUGAGCACUGUAGAGGCAGGCGGAAUUCCGGGUGUAGCGGUGGAAUGCGUAGAGAUCCGGAAGAACACCGGUGGCGAAGGCAGCCCCCUGGGCUGACACUGACGCUCAGGCACGAAAGCGUGGGGAGCAAACAGG
rnacentral:rRNA from 1 species